GGAGGGGCAGGAGGCGCCUGCAGGCACACCGGGGAGCAGGGCCGGGCCGCCCGCCGAGGACGCCUCCUCCGGGCCCUCUGGGAACGGGGCGGUGGACACCGCGGCGCCUCCUCGUGCUUGUCUCGCUGGGUCUCGAGCCCCGAAGCGGAACAGCGGAGACACAGCUGUGGGCGCAUCUGGAUCUGCCGGCCAGACCGCCAGCCGGAGGCCGUCCGGAGCCCGAGGCCGCAGAGCACUAGAGGCUGCCGUUCCCAAGCAAGUCAGUCAGGACGCUGGACGCCACGCUGAGCUGGGCCCAGCGGCCCCGGCCCGGGGAGGCUGCGCUGCCCUCAGCGCAGAAGCUGCGCGCCUGCGGAAGAGAGACCCAGCCGCCUCGGCCGCUCUCGGAGUAGGUGCGGCUGGCCAAAUGCGGUGCUGAGCCGAAUGCAGGAGAAAGGGGUGGAAGUAAGGUCUUCUUGAAUGGCAGCCAAUGUUUUGACUCUUUUGAGUCAGUGAGUGCAGUAAAGAUGAGUAAGGCCCAAACAGAAGAAACUGAAGAAAGAUACAUCCAAAGUAAGGAAUUGAAGGAAGCAGCUGAUGCCUAAGGGCAACAGCAUGGCAAGAAGGAGCCACUGGAUCCUGAACUUGGAUGGAAACGGAGGUGGAUAGACUUCACUUUCAACAACAUAAGUAAUGAUGUGAAUAAGGCCUGACCUACUAGAUUCCUCUGGCCACAUGUCCUAAUCAAAGCCAAAGAAAUGUAAGAAGACUUCUGCUGACACCUGUGGGAAAGAGGCUCCAAUAAAAGAUAACAGAAACUUCAAUAAUAUGGAGCCAUAAAUGGUUGGAAAAUCCCCAAGAGAAUGUUAAUGUCAAUGAAGGCAAGAAAUGGAUAAGACUAGCACUUGAGAAAAGUCUGAACACUCUCAGCCCUCUCUCAAGCAAUUCCUGCCU